CUGGGGGCGUGUACUACUUGCAAGCUGCAAUUGACUAACAUCACCAAAUGGCUUGAGGCAGUGGCUUUGGUGAGAAUGGAGGCGGGACACACACGUCCACAAAUUCAUCUGAAAAAACAAAUACUUAGUUGGAACAUCUAAUACCUUUAAAAUCCUAAGCUCCUUAAGCUCCACGCAGUAAUCUCUGGACUAAAGACUCCACUGCCGAAGAAGAAAAACCUUAUCGCGAUCCAAAUCUCUCAAGUCGUACCCAAAAAUCGUCUCUACAUCUUCGACAAGAGAAGAAAGAAGAAGAAAAACCCGUUGUUGUUAUAAAUUGAAGUUAGGGGACCAUUCUGAUGAAGAAUCACAAAACCAGGUAAUUUAGGGUUUCUUUAAUUAACUCUGUAUAAUUAGAUGGGUUUAUAAUUUGAUCAAAUUAUGAUGGGUUUGCUCUUGAUUGAAGUAUAAUUAGAUGUAUUGGGCUCAAUUUAAGAUUCUUUAAGAAUUAGGUGAAGGGGUUUUUUUUGGUUCGACUGCAAUCUCUUCGCCAGAUCUUUGAAGCGAAAUUUGAAGAAUCCCUGAUGAUAUCUCCGAUUUUCGUUUUUUUGGGUCAUUGGUGUGUUGCUUCAUAAAAUAUGUCUUUUAAGGUAUAUCACUUUUCUCUUUACUUCUCUGCUUUUCAGUUUUUCAAUUCUAAGUUCUGUAUAGAGUGGUAAAGUAAGCCCGAUUGGAUAUCUUUUAUAUGUUAUUUGGCCUUCAAUUGAUUUGGAGAUCUUUAUAGACAGACAUCACUUGAAAUUCAACCUGGUGAGUCCCCCUCAUUUGCAUUCGUUAGAUGCCCUGUGAUUCUCCUAAUUAAGGCUUUCUUAGUUAUGAAAUCCGAAGGUAUUAUUACUUAUUAGAGUUUGCUUCUUCUUCGUCAUAAACUGAUGAUCAGGUAAACUGGAAUCAUCAUCUCUCUUAUAUCAUGUUCGUAGAAUGGAAUCAUCAUCUCUCUUAUAUCAUGUUCUUAUUUUCUUUUUUUCAUAUCUGUUUCCUAACAAACCGUGGAUCAUGGGUUCUCAUUAAUCUGUAGAUUGUUUAGUUAAAUGAUCAACGCAUUCAGGCUAAGUUUUAUUAGCUAUUGAUUUAUAUUUCGUAUUGUUUUUAUAUAUUGCAGGUGAUUAUGCAUGGAUUAAUUCUUAGAUUUUGUUUGUUGUCAUGCUGUUUAAUUACCUAAUCUAUUUGAAUUAACGAGUUCUUUCAGUUUUCUUUCUUUUAAAAGAGUUCCCUGUAUCUGUGGGUGUAGGAUAGGCAUAGAAAGUGUGAGACAAAGCCAAAGUCUAAAAUUUUCUCCUGUAUUCUUUUUAUGUAAUCUCUCCUGAUUUUUGCUCCACCGCAAAGGACCUUGAUUGACGAUGGAAGCCACGCAAAAUGGUUUGAUUACAGAAAAGAACCAUUUCAUAUAAUUGCAUCAUCCAUUGAGGAAGCAAAGUAAGAGGUUACCAAUCAGUUAUACGUAAUACCACAGCCGAAAUCUUAUGAAGUUAAUCAAGUAUUGUAACUAUCUUCUAAUAAUUAUUGAACUGAAUUGAUAUUUUUCUUUGAGUUUGUUGAUCAGGAGGGUAACAUUAACAUAAUUGGUUCAGGUGCAAUUGAUGCGGCAAAAGAUGUUAUACUUACCCCAAUCUCUAUAGAUAUACCAUGGCAGCGACAAAUAUUCAAUGGUAGCAUUGACAGAUUUUUUAGGUAGCCAUGGCAUGGGUAGUGGAGUACUCCAUGAUUCCUUCUAUCUGUUGCAACUGUUGCAUCAGACCUCUGCAACAGUUUAUGUACCAAGAAACCUCUCUGGAAAGUAACAGUCUGUGGAUGAAGUUGUAACCAAGUUUGGGGAUCACCAAUUGGAAAGCUUAAAAAAUCCAAGCAAUAAGGAGACUGCAGAUAUGUAGGUAUGUAACUACAUAGAACAAGAGCUUGAGAAUGUAACAGUAGAGCUUCCGAAGUAUAAAAAAGAGUCUGAGGGUGGCGGAUCCGAAUGAAGAACCCAAUUAUAGUAGAGCUAAAUUAUGAUCCUAGAGAGAACAGAGAUUGAAGAGUGCCAUGCGAAAAAGGAAUCAUAAAUAGUCAGGCUUAGAGUAGAAGCAAUGCAAUGGGGGGUUGGUGAAGAGGUUAAGUCUGGUGUAGGUUUCGAUUGAUCUUUAUGCAAUUUUAUGAGUAUUGUACUAUUUCGGUCCACGUACGUAGUGCCGGUUAUUUAGAUGGUAGUGAUUUCCUUACAAUUUUGUUUGUCUGCAGUAAUAUUUUCGUUACAUCCAAGGAUUAGAUGUCUGCAGAUAUGUACCUUAUGGUUGGAAUAACAAGCAAUAGUUGGCAUAUAAAUGAUGAUGAGGAGGAAAUCCGAUAUCUAUAGAGACCAAAAACUUGCAAAUACUUCAAGGAAACAAAUGCGUGCUCAUUUACAUCCCGAGGUCUCAACAUGCAUGUUUUCGUGGUUUUCAGGGACGAUUAAGCAAUCUUCCAAGAGUGUUUUGAUUCAAUAAAAGUUUUUUGCAAGUCAAGUCCAUGGCAUGGGUUCUUCGCUGGUCAUGUCCUCACCACUACUUUUUUUGAACUUGGGUGUAACUGAGACUGCUAGACAGAUAGAAAACAAGAAGGUAGGAGACAAUUCCAAUGGUAGUUUCACUUCACAAAUAUUCUCAUUUGUUGCCUAUCUAAUGAUUAAUUACCAUUUACGAAAUCCGAACCUCAAAUUUUGACAAAUGACAUGUGAAGAAAAGCAAGAUGUGGUGACAAGAUGUGCCUCUGUAAGAAUGUUUAGUUGAAACAUGAUAUGGAGUUGGCAUUUUGCAAUAACCCUUUGGACAAUCCUUAUCCAACAUUGUACAAGCUAGCAGCUGACAAAUUUCACUAAUGAUGAAGUGGGUGAUCUCUGCACUUUUUUUUCAACUGAAUUUGCUCAAUCCCUCCUUCAGUCCUCUUUCUUUCGGCCACCAAUGGUUUUUAAGUGGAAAGACAAACAACAAACCCUUCUCACUGAAAUCAUGUCAUAUCUGCAUGACGCGAGAAAGAAUAUUGCUCAUUGAUCUCGAGCCUAGCUACACUUUAAAGUGUGUCUGUUAUUCUUUUUCUUACUUUCUUUUGUUUCCAUGAACAUACAUUCUUUCUAAUACAUCUUAGUUCAGUUAAGGCAUGGGUGUUUGUGAACUGAAAUUUGUACUCAGAACAGCCCUGAGUACUCCCUUUGUCGAUGUUGUUGUGGUGAUGUGAGUUUUGCUUAAUUCAGGUCAUGCGCUUAUAUUUUUAAUAA